rnacentral:rRNA from 1 species
UGAGGAAUAUUGAGCAAUGCCCGAAAGGGUGACCCAGCAACGCCGCGUGGAGGAUGAAGGUCGUAAGAUUGUAAACUCCUGUUAGAGGGGAAGAAUAACUAAGUUUGGAGCUUAGUAUGACUGUACCCUCAGAGAAAGCCCCGGCUAACUACGUGCCAGCAGCCGCGGUAAUACGUAGGGGGCAAGCGUUGUCCGGAUUUACUGGGUGUAAAGGGCGCGCAGGCGGAAUGGAAAGUCAGUGGUGAAAUCCUACAGCUUAACUGUAGAACUGCCUUUGAUACUUUCAUUCUUGAGUUCGGGAGAGAGAGACGGAAUUCCAGGUGUAGUGGUGAAAUACGUAGAUAUCUGGAAGAACACCAGUUGCGAAGGCGGUCUCUUGGUCCGAUACUGACGCUGAGGCGCGAAAGCGUGGGGAGCAAACA